GCAGUCGUGGCCUAGUGGUUAAGGCGAUGGACUAGAUAUCCAUUGGGGUCUCCCCGCACCAGGUUUGAAUCCUGCCAACUGCG
rfam:Ixodes scapularis strain Wikel colony gcontig_1108378367038, whole genome shotgun sequence.